AAUAGGAGACUCCACUGUUACAGCCCGGCCUCCGAGCUCUGUCAUGGCGGCGUCCAGUUUUCCGGCUAGUGUGAAGAAACGGAAUGUUAGGGUUUUUAUUAGCGAGACAGGCGGGUUUGGACGACCCUCUUCGCCUCCAGAGAGCGGAGUCCACACGGAGGGUUUUGGGACUGGAGUUAAACAAAGACAGAGAUGUUGAAAGAAUCCAUGGCAGUGGAGUUAACACCCUUGACAUUGAACCUGUUGAAGCAAGAUACAUGUUAUCAGGUGGUUCAGAUGGUGUGAUUGUACUUUAUGAUCUUGAGAACUCCAGCAGACAACCUUAUUACACAUGUAAAGCAGUGUGUUCCGUUGGCAGAAACCAUCCUGAUGUUCACAAAUACAGUGUGGAGACUGUACAGUGGUAUCCUCAUGACACCGGCAUGUUUACAUCAAGCUCCUUUGAUAAAACUCUGAAAGUGUGGGAUACAAAUACAUUACAAACUGCAGAUAUAUUUAAUUUUGAAGAAACCAUUUAUAGUCAUCAUAUGUCUCCAGUUGCCACCAAACACUGUUUGGUAGCAGUUGGUACUAGAGGGCCCAAAGUACAACUUUGUGACUUAAAGUCUGGAUCCUGUUCCCACAUUUUACAGGGUCACAGACAAGAAAUAUUGGCAGUUUCCUGGUCGCCUCGUUGUGAAUAUGUCUUGGCAACUGCAAGUGCUGACAGUAGAGUAAAAUUAUGGGAUGUGAGAAGAGCAUCAGGAUGUUUAAUUACUCUUGAUCAGCAUAAUGGAAAAAAGUCACAGGCUGUUGAAUCAGCAAACACUGCUCAUAAUGGGAAAGUUAAUGGCUUAUGUUUUACAAGUGAUGGGCUUCAUCUCCUUACUGUUGGUACAGAUAAUCGAAUGAGGCUCUGGAAUAGUUCCAAUGGAGAAAACACACUAGUAAACUAUGGAAAAGUUAAUAAUGACAGCAGAAAAGGACUGAAAUUCACUGUCUCCUGUGGCUGCAGUUCAGAAUUUGUUUUUGUACCAUAUGGUAGCACUAUUGCUGUUUAUACAAUUUACUCAGGAGAACAGAUAACUAUGCUUAAGGGACAUUAUAAAAGUGUUGACUGCUGUGUAUUCCACUCUAAUUUCCAGGAACUUUAUAGCGGUAGCAGAGACUGCAAUAUACUUGCUUGGGUACCAUCCUUAUAUGAACCAGUUCCUGAUGAUGAUGAGCCUACAACCAAAUCACAGAUAAAUCCAGCAUUUGAAGAUGCAUGGAGCAGCAGUGAUGAGGAAGGAUGAUUGUCAAUCCUGAGUACCUUUGUGUCUCUUUUGAUGAAACUUUUAAAAUGGGACUGUUUUUUUGUUGUUACUGUUUUCUUCCUAUGUGAUGACAGCUAAAGUACCCCUUAAUUUGGUGUUUUUUUUCACCUGUGUUUUAAAAUGAAGGUAGUAUUUGUAUGAAAUCCUGAAACAGACUUUUAUAUAGUUUAUUUAAUCAAAGAUGUCUCCUUGAUCCCAGUUGCUGUUGCCUGGGACAUCCCCUGUUGUUAUAGUAAUCUCUCUAUACUGAACCUUCUCUUUUGAGACAGGUCCUGAGAACACCCUCCCUCCCACUCCCGACCCCCCCAGUGGGACCUUGAACACAUUGUUUGAACUGUUAGAUGCAGUCUCAGGAUGAGCAAGUAAAGGUUAUCAGCACUGACUUUCUACUACUGGCUGUACCAUCACCUUGUUCAUUUUCACUUUCAGUGGUGCUUUUACUGAGGACAGUCUUAUAAAAAAUGAUUGUUGAAAAGUUAGCAUCCUAUUUUUAAAUUCUUUUUUAUUCAUGUGUUCAGUUUUUGCAAUGAUUUCAUUUAGCCAACCAUUGUCUAGCUUUAAUUAAAUAUUUUUGGACUCAGUCCAAAAAGUGUGGAUCACAGAAGGUUUGUUUGUUUGUUUUUAAGAUUUUAUUUAUUUGACAGAGCGAGAGAAAUCACAAGUAGGCAGAGAGGCAGGCAGAGAGAGGGGGAAGCAGGUUCCCUGCUGAGCAGAGAGCCCGAUGCGGGGCUCUCGAGGCUCGAUCCCAGGACCCUGAGAUCAUGACCUGAGCUGAAGGCAGAAGCUUAACACACUGAGCCACUCAGGCGCCCCUCACAGAAGGUUUUUAACUUGGGAAAAAUCCUAUGUUUUCUUUAUUUUAAUGUGUCAGAUGGUAGCUUGUACUCAUGCUUGAACUCUCUGUGAAUCUUAAUUAAGAUGUGACCAAGUCCUGUUUCAUUCAUUAAAGCAGAAAAUGCCCUGGCAGGAAAUCUGUCUCAACAUGAAA